rnacentral:rRNA from 1 species
UACGGGGGGAGCAAGCGUUGUUCGGAUUUACUGGGCGUAAAGGGCGCGUAGGCGGUCAGCACAAGUCAGUUGUGAAAUCUCCGGGCUUAACUCGGAAAGGUCAACUGAUACUGUGCGACUAGAGUGCAGAAGGGGCAACUGGAAUUCUCGGUGUAGCGGUGAAAUGCGUAGAUAUCGAGAGGAACACCAGUGGCGAAGGCGACUUCCUGGCCUGUUCUUGACGCUGAGGCGCGAAAGCUAGGGGAGCAAACGGG